AAGCACUCCCAGCUGCAGCUGCCACCUGAGCAUCCACAGUAGAUUUCAGCACCAGGGACAAGAAAGUUGUGGCCAGUGUUGUCCAGCAGUCAAGCAUCCCAGGAAGGCAGCAGAGCCCAAGAUGAAGGCGCCAGAUGAGAGUGGAAGGGAAUGGUCCAGCAACAAUAAUUCUGCUUCCUCGGUGUUCUGUUCUCCUCUCGAAGUGACUGGUGCCGUUAUGGAAAUUGAAAUCUCUAACCCUCAGACCAGAAACCUAACUUCACAGACUUACUUGGAGUCCCUGCAUCCAUCCCUGCUGAGGAUGGCUCCCUGCUAAGCUACACUGGAGACUGAAUUAACCAUUUACAUACUGGAAGUCACUUCUUCAGAAGCUGAAUGAAACUGAUAUAAUGAAUGAAA